GAAUGGUUUAGCAAGGAGUCAAAUUAAUUUAUUGAAAACUAAGACGGCAAACAGAGUUAAUUAGGGACACAAAAUCGCCCCCCAGUGUGGUGGAGAACCCCCAGAGGAUCACCAAUCCUCCAUCUGCCUUCUCUUCUCUCAAUGCCUCUUUCCAGCCGUCUCAUUGGCUCAUUUGGAUUUUGGUGGGUCUGAUUGGCUGCCCUCCUCCCCGGACUGUUUCUCCCCCCACCAGUUCCAGUCCAAUGAGGGAGAUCAGGCACCUCCACUCUGCUCCUCGCGGUUAUGCCUGUUUCCUUGUGUAACUUUACCCACAAGCAUGGCGUUUUUCAUUUUUUUAUUUAUCGUUUCUCCAUCGUUACUUCCGUUAGCUGUUUUCAUUUUGAUGAAUGCCACACAAAAAUGAAGAAUAUUUAUUGAAGUGUGCCAAACUAAACCUCUGCCUACACCUUCCUGUCAGCUCAGAAAAAUGUCUUUCCUCUUUCCAAAACUGCAGUGUGGAAGCCGUGGCCUGCAUCUGUUUGGCUCAUUUUGCGAUUUGUUGGGUUUUUUUUGUCUCUUGUGUUUGCAGUUCACACCCUUCACUCUCUGGUUUGAAUGAGCAGCCUGCUGCGCUCUGAUUGGCUGCCGGCGGCUGCCAUAUAAGGACAUAGGCCGCAGCCGAGGCAGGAAGUGGAGUAAGGAGGAAGUGGAAAGCCGGCUCUCAGAGACAGCUGAUGGUGCACCCCGAGGACGCCUGCCACACCUUUCUGAUUCUUUUCGAAUUCCAUCACCUCAUCAUUUAGGUUUCAAGACUGGUUUCUGUAGUCAGACGGUGGUGCUACCUGCUUCACUCACAGUGGAGGAAAGCCUCCUAAUCUCUCAGCUUAGGGCAGCAUACAAGCUUUCCUUUAAAGCCGAGCAGCAGGCAAAGUCCACUUAGACGUGCAGCGCUUUUACACCGAAGCAGAUUGUCACGAGAACAACAUGAUGUAAUUGAUAAGACAGGGAGGGAGCUCCCUGCCCAUCGAGCUAAUCAUCUAACAUGAAACGCAGCCGUUCUCAGUAACCAAAUCGAGCAGCUCUGCAGCAUCGAGUUACAUUUAGAAGUUUGUGUUAAGCUAAAAGAAAGCUCAUUAAGUGAUCAUUUGACCCUGAUAGAGCCCAAAACAGCAUGAGUUAGAUCACAAGAUACACAAGCGAGAAGCUGCACUAAAAGGCCACUUCUGCAGGUUUGAUUGCACAACCUUUUUUUUUUGUUCUGGGGUGAGUGAGAUGUUGCAUUGUUGUUCAUUUGCGUGAGCGGCAAAGAGAGUGUGUUGACCUGGGUGUGCAACAGUGAAGCCACACCUUCCUCCCAACACUCGCGUCCAUAAAAGGAGAUCUUUAAGUUUGUCACAUGGUAACAAUCUCAGGAAUGUGAGAGCAGUCACAUGGGAUGCCAUCUCAAGGAAAUCAGUUUCACCCCCCCAAACCAUCACUAUCCAGGCUAUGAAAUGAUUUGUCAGCAUGUCAUUGAUUUUUCUGGAAGGAGAGUGGGGGAUGUUUUCUUUGCUUUGUGUGGCUGAAAGAAGGGGAAUUCACAGCAAUUUCACUUCUCUAUGUUCAGUGAGAUGUCAGGAGGUCACUCCCGCUUCCUUCCCCAGCAGAAGAAGAGCAACUGUGCACUCCAACUCCAAACAAACGCCUCAAAGUGAGCCCAACUUUGACGUCCUCCCCUAAAACAUCAUCUGGAUUCACCCCUUUUCUCUCAAAAGUCUCUCAAAGCUUCCUGGAGGCGAGGCCGCAGUGUGGACCGCAGGAGAUGCCGCCUCACAGCGCCCUCUAAAGUCACAACCACAACGCUGAUACACGCUGCACCCUGCGAGGGACUUCCUCUUUUUUACCACUGCAGGUCGCCAUAUAAGGUUAAUACUUGUCAGCCCCACCCUCCGUCCCGUCCAAGAGCCGUCCACUGCAGGUCAUCUCGGAGACCUCAAGAUUGCAAAAGGAGGAGGAGGAGGUGAGCCUGGGAGAUGUGUUAUAAGAGCACAGACGGAGAUGGAAUUCUUGUUUUCUCACUUUCCCUUCAGCGCUCCUCUCGUCUCCGUCGCCUUGGAGCCAAUAUUGUCCCGGUUGCACAACUCAAACAUCCAGACAAAGACUUCAUCGUCUUUUGUCUUUGCGUUUCUGUCACAUCCUCUCCAUCCGCUCGCUUGUUGACCUUCUCCUCAUCUCCAAGACUUUGUUUUAUAUGGUAAAUGCAUGAGGCCAACAUUCCACAGCAUUCCCUGUCUCUCAUUAGAAGAAUAAAUGAGUGUUUUUGUCUGAAAUUGCAUCUUUUCAUUGAAUUUGUGGGCUUCCCUCAGCAGUGGGGACCAGUGAACCAGUGAUGUAGGUCAGGAGGAAAUGUUUUCCUUGUACUAUUGCAUAACGGUGCACACAUUCCUCUCUGUGCACACAUACUGGGGAAGAAGACGGAGAAGCCAAGAUACACAGCACGAGCUGUGAUUGCACUGCAGUGCAUGAAGGAAUCCAAAGACAUUCUCAGUGUGUUUGAAUGACCCACGUCACGAAAACGGGCUUUUAAGGUGGAAUGACUAAAGGAUCAGCAGCUGGUUCGGUUGAAGCGUUCUUCCUUCUCGGCCUGCUUACCCUCCUCUCUUAAGAGAUUUACCUUAAAGCUUCACUUGUUUGCGGAUCUAGGAACCUAAGACGAUAAAAAAAAGGAGGAGAAGUGAAAGGAGAGGGAGAGGAGGGGAUUGAGAGAGGAGGAGUUACGCCCUUCUUGGCUCCUCUGAUUGUAAGCCGAUAACCUGGAGCACACUACCGAGCUGUUACGUAAGAGACAGGAGACGUCCCAGUGGACUCUGUGUGAGGGAAAGCAUGAAUGUGUGACUCUUCAACUGUUCAUUUUCCAGCUGGGUUUCUAACGUUUAUUUUCCUCUUAAGCAAAUUUGGUCGGAACCAUGGUCUGUUUGUGCCUGACACUGAAGAAAGGACACUGUACUCAGAGGAACUGUGAACCAGAGGCUAUUAUUGUUUCACAUGAGGAAACUUUGCCUAAUACAAAUGUAUGCAAAUAAACCUUUUCUACUGAACUUCUCAUAAAAAGCAGCUUUGGGUUCUGACACAUCGUUCACUUCAAAGGAACCCCUCUAAACUUUGUUCACCCGCCCCAUGAAAGAUGUUUUUUUAACAUAUCCUUGUGGUAUUUUUCUGAUGAUAUACUGUAUUUGUAGUUGAAAAUUGCAUCUCUGAGUAUUUGUUUAUUCAAAGUUUUGUGAAUCAGGAGAAGAUGAUAAUAUGCUGUUUGUGAUGUAGAAAUACACUGAAAAAAGGGAAACUAAUGUAAGUUAUUACAGUCCUGCCCGCAACUUAGAGGCAAAUUUCUAAUGAAUUCCUUCAGAAACUAACUCUUAGAAACUGACUCAUCUGUUUAUUAUCAAGACAAAUUAGCCUUUUUGAUUGUAAAUAAAUAACUAGUGUAUCAGACCUUGAAAGUAAAAAUAACAACAUGUUAGUUCACAUUGUCAAGUCUGAGGCCCAAAUGUUGAACAAAAAUGUUUAGUUAUCUCUCCUCCAGCAUCCUACAGAGUGUGUGGGAGAAAUACAUGUGAAAAUGUCCUGAGAUUUCUGCUCUGGAAAGAGUUCAAACUCUGCAAGAAAGUGUUUGUUUAACCUGACCGAGCUCACCUCUGGAGGAAUAAGUUUUACCUUAAAAAAGAAAACUUGAUCCUUAAGAAUAAAUCAAGUCUGUAAAUCAUAGCUUAGCUGACAAAGAGCUGAGUUGAGUGGAAACAUAUUAGAAAUGGACUAUAAACCAAAUAUGUGUCUCAGUACUUGAGUAGUUUUAUUUUUAUGUAUUGUUUUUUGUCUCUUAAUCAAGUAUUUAUUUCUACUUUUUCUGUAUUUUGCUCAUUUGUUUUCCUUCUAUGACACUUUUGAAGACUCCUGUCAAAGUCACUCCAGCUUAAUGUUCAUAGUCUGUUUGCAUUUCUGUUCAUUGUCCUCAGCGUAUGGAAAUGUCAAUGUCAUCGAUUUUUGACACCAAAUCUGGUUUUCUACAUUUUAGGUUCUAUGCCUGCAGUUCCUAACAACACUUCUCUAAAGCCGAGUUCAUAUCGGCCUCAGAAACUGACGUUCAAGCGACCACUUUCAAUGAAAAGCCUUUGUAAACAUGCAGGUUUUGGAUUUCAAACUCUCACGUUUCUACGACCAAUUCGAGCUCUUUGUACAAAACACACAACUAUUGAACGCACAUUGAAAGUUAUGUCAGGUUAAGCAUUGACCAAGUCUUUCAUAAAUCGGAACGGAGCUGGAGCAAAAUCAAAUACAUUUGCACCAUUUCAACAUUCAGUACCAAGCCUCUUCCAAGUCAACAACGUUAGUCAACAGUAUAAAAAGUAGAUGAAGCCCCUCCCUGCUCUUCCAGUGUGAACACCAUGAGCUAAACACACGUUCAAGAAUGUACGUUUAGCUCCUUCUUGAACAUUCAUCACAAGCCCGGUGUGUACAGUUUUCAAUUCUUGAGUACAGUUUUUAGGUUUUGUGCCGUCAGCGUCUGUUAGUUUCCCUGAGUAUUGAUAUUAAAAUAAAGCAAAGCACAGACACAAAAAACAAACUGAACUUUACAGCCAAAAUCGCAUCCAAAAACAUUAUUUCAGCCAAAAUUGGUCUGGUGUGUAAUCUGAAUUUUGAUUGGCUUAAGACGAGGAAGAUAAACUCACCUUAUUGAGGUUACAUGGAAGCUUUAACAACUCUCUGUGGUGUGUCGCUAAUUUGCAACAUCAUGAAUUUAGCUUCAUCGUGAAAAAACACUAAAGAACAUUUUUAAAUAAAUAAAUGCAAAUGUACAUGGUCGGACAUAAAAGGGUUAAAACUUUUGUGAGUGAGCAAAAAGACACAUGACUUUGGAACAGGAGGCAGAUUGUCUAACUUAACAAAUGAAUGAGCUAAAGAUCCCAGAGAAUGUGGCUUUCAAAUAAUGUAUUUUUUUAAGUGCCCUGAAGAAGAGAUUUACAACUACCAGUACAUACACAAAAAAAAAUAUGUGAAGGAAAUGAUGAACAAACCAGAAAAACUGCUUUGAGAGAAAUGCAACAAAUAAAAAAUGAAAGGCAAACCUCCCAUAAACUAAAAAUUGGCAGGGAUUGCUGAAAUCAGGAAUUAUGACAAACUGGCUUUGACUGAGAAAAAAGUAUGAGCUCCGGGGGAGAGAAACUGAGUCAAUUUGCAAGUGAAAGCUGCAGUUAGUAAAUGGAAGCAAAACUAAAGUCAAUGUGAAACAACACAAGGAAAGUAGAAACAAAUCGACUGAAUAUAAAUGAUUAGAAACAAAGAGGGCAGCAUUACUACCUUACAAGGAGAAAAAAAAACCUGCAGGAAUCUUUCAUUCAAGUCAUCUAAUAAAUACAACCCAAAUAUAAAAGAAAAUGUGUAUUCUAAUAUUUAUUUGUAUGUUUUAAAUGUUAUGACCAACAAAACAAAAGAAAGAAAUGUCUGAUUUGUGAUUGUAACUUGGAUGAACUUUAUGUGUGGACAAAAAUGUAUUUGUCAAUGAAUAAAACAUGAGAGAU